GACGAACGCUGGCGGCGUGCCUAAUACAUGCAAGUAGAACGCUGAAGGAGGAGCUUGCUUCUCUGGAUGAGUUGCGAACGGGCGAGUAACGCGUAGGUAACCUGCCUGGUAGCGGGGGAUAACUAUUGGAAACGAUAGCUAAUACCGCAUAACAGUAGAUAUCGCAUGAUAGCUGCUUGAAAGGUGCAAUUGCACCACUACCAGAUGGACCUGCGUUGUAUUAGCUAGUUGGUGAGGUAACGGCUCACCAAGGCGACGAUACAUAGCCGACCUGAGAGGGUGAUCGGCCACACUGGGACUGAGACACGGCCCAGACUCCUACGGGAGGCAGCAGUAGGGAAUCUUCGGCAAUGGACGGAAGUCUGACCGAGCAACGCCGCGUGAGUGAAGAAGGUUUUCGGAUCGUAAAGCUCUGUUGUAAGAGAAGAACGAGUGUGAGAGUGGAAAGUUCACACUGUGACGGUAUCUUACCAGAAAGGGACGGCUAACUACGUGCCAGCAGCCGCGGUAAUACGUAGGUCCCGAGCGUUGUCCGGAUUUAUUGGGCGUAAAGCGAGCGCAGGCGGUUAGAUAAGUCUGAAGUUAAAGGCUGUGGCUUAACCAUAAUACGCUUUGGAAACUGUUUAACUUGAGUGCAAGAGGGGAGAGUGGAAUUCCAUGUGUAGCGGUGAAAUGCGUAGAUAUAUGGAGGAACACCGGUGGCGAAAGCGGCUCUCUGGCUUGUAACUGACGCUGAGGCUCGAAAGCGUGGGGAGCAAACAGG
rnacentral:rRNA from 1 species